GGUUGCGAUCAUACCAGCACUAAUGCACCGGAUCCCAUCAGAACUACGCAGUUAAGUGUGCUUGGGCGAGAGUAGUACUAGGAUGGGUGACCCCCUGGGAAGUCCUCGUGUUGCAACCC
rnacentral:rRNA from 1 species